rnacentral:rRNA from 1 species
UACAGAGGGUGCGAGCGUUGUUCGGAAUUACUGGGCGUAAAGAGCGUGUAGGCGGUCUAGCAAGUCAGAUGUGAAAGCCCAGAGCCUAACUCUGGAAGUGCAUUUGAAACUGCUAGGCUUGAGUGAUGUAGAGGUUGGCGGAAUACCCAGUGUAGAGGUGAAAUUCGUAGAUAUUGGGUAGAACACCGGUGGCGAAGGCGGCCAACUGGGCAUUAACUGACGCUGAGACGCGAAAGCGUGGGGAGCAAACAGG